AGGGUGUAAACGCUGCAGACUUGGUGUUGGAAGUCCUUUGGGGGCAUUCAGUGCCGGAGAGAAGUUGUUAAGUCUGCUACUUGGGGAGUACGUCCGCAAGGAUGAAACUUAAAGGAAUUGGCGGGGGGAGCACCGCAACGGGAGGAGCGUGCGGUUUAAUUGGAUUCAACACCGUAAAACUCACCAGGGAAGACUGUUACAUGAAAGCCGAGAUGAAGACUCUGCUAGAUUUUCAGAGAGGAGGUGCAUGGCGUCAG
rnacentral:rRNA from 1 species